AUACAGAGGGUGCAAGCGUUAAUCGGAAUUACUGGGCGUAAAGCGCGCGUAGGCGGCUAAUUAAGUCAGAUGUGAAAUCCCCGGGCUCAACCUGGGAACUGCAUCUGAUACUGGUUAGCUAGAGUUUGGGAGAGGGAAGUAGAAUUUCAGGUGUAGCGGUGAAAUGCAUAGAGAUCUGAAGGAAUACCAGUGGCGAAGGCGACUUCCUGGCCUAAAACUGACGCUGAGGUGCGAAAGCGUGGGUAGCAAACGGGAUUAGAAACCCUAGUAGUCC
rnacentral:rRNA from 1 species